UUUCAUACAUAGGUGGGUUUGUUAAAGCUCUAUUGCGCGUUAGCAAUUGGCAGUGUGUUAGGGUUCUUGGGAGGGAGCAAGCCUGGCAGCGAUGGAUGACUCAGAUGACUAAAUAAGCUCUGGGACACUCACUUUGGGUGUAUUUGCCUUAUUUUCCAUGAUGGUGAUGACUGUGAAAACUAUCUGCCUGCCCACCGAUAUCCGGGGUCUGUCGCUAAAGGGAGUUUUUCCUCCCUGUUGUCGCCAAGUACUUGCUCAAGAGGGAUGUGUUGGGGGUUUCUCUAGUGAUAAUGUUAAGAUCUAGACCUUACUUUGUAAAAUGUCCUGUGACUUUUAUUUGGUGCUAUAGAAAUUAAAUUCAAGUGUCCAGGUUGACAGCAUGUAUAAUUUUAUGUUAAUGAAACAGAUAGUUCUUCACCACAUUUUGUGUGUAAAACCUUAAUUCCUAAAAAUUGUAACUGAAAUAAAUGUGUAGUGAGAACUACAGAUAUGAAGCUGAAGCAUGUUUUUGCAGACUGAUAUUGGUGGAAGAGGGACAGGGUUUGAUGCAUAGGUCAGUGUUUCAGAUUGCUGAGUCAAAAGUUGUUGUUGUUGUUGUUCAGGACUCUUCUCUUCAGCACCAAGGACAGCGCACAUUUUUCACCAGAUUCCCUUCAACAAUCCAGCAGGCAUUUAACAAACAAGUAAACCUGAGGCAGGAACGGAAAGUGUGGAUUACGAUGUCUGUGCAGGGACUUCUAUGGAGACAGUCCAGAAGGUGGCGAUAAUGCAACUACAGUCGUUUGCCAACUGGCAUUAAACAGAAGAAGGAGAGGAGGCGGAAGAAGAAGAAGAAGAAGUACAAGGACGAAAGAAGGAAAAGGAAACCUAAAUAACAGGCCAAU